UGGCCAGACUCCUACGGGAGGCAGCAGUGGGGAAUAUUGGGCAAUGGGCGAAAGCCUGACCCAGCAACGCCGCGUGAAGGAAGAAGGCUUUCGGGUUGUAAACUUCUUUUGACAGGGAAGAGCAGAAGACGGUACCUGUCGAAUAAGCCACGGCUAACUACGUGCCAGCAGCCGCGGUAAUACGUAGGUGGCAAGCGUUAUCCGGAUUCACUGGGUGUAAAGGGAGCGUAGACGGCCAUGCAAGCCAGGGGUGAAAGCCCGGGGCCCAACCCCGGGACUGCCCUUGGAACUGCAUGGCUGGAGUGCGGGAGGGGCAGGCGGAAUUCCUGGUGUAGCGGUGAAAUGCGUAGAUAUUAGGAGGAACACCAGUGGCGAAGGCGGCUUACUGGACAGUAACUGACGUUGAGGCUCGAAAGCGUGGGGAGCAAACAGGAUUAGAUACCCGCGUAC
rnacentral:rRNA from 1 species